rnacentral:piRNA from 1 species
UCCAAGAAGCCCUUUAAAGAGUUUUUAGCAU